rnacentral:rRNA from 1 species
UUGCGGUUAAAAAGCUCGUAGUUGGAUUUCUGCUGAGGACGACCGGUCCGCCCACUGGGUGAGUAUCUGGCUCGGCCUUGGCAUCUUCUUGGAGAACGUAUCUGCACUUGACUGUGUGGUGCGGUAACCAGGACCUUUACUUUGAGGAAAUUAGAGUGUUUCAAGCAGGCGUGCGCCUUGAAUACAUUAGCAUGGAAUAAUAAGAUAGGACCUUAGCUCUAUUUUGUUGGUUUCUAGAGCUGGGGUAAAGAUUAAUAGGGAUAGUUGGGGGCAUUCGUAUUUAACUGUCAGAGGUGAAAUUCUUGGAUUUGUCAAAGACGGACUACUGCGAAAGCAUUUGCCAAGGAUGUUUUCAUUGAUCAAGAACGAAAGUUAGGGGAUCGAAGACGAUCAGAUACCGUCCUAGUCUUAACCAUAAACCAUGCCGACUAGAGAUUGGAGGCCGUUACCUGUACGACUCCUUCAGCACCUUAUGAGAAAUCAAAGUCUUUGGGUUCCGGGGGGAGUAUGGUCGCAAGGCUGAAACUUAAAGGAAUUGACGGAAGGGCACCACCAGGAAUGGAGCCUGCGGCUUAAUUUGACUCAACACGGGGAAAACUUACCAGGUCCAGACAUAGUGAGGACUGACAGAUUGAGAGU